GUUGUGGAGCUAUACUAUAUGAGGUUAUAACAUUUGUUUUGUUUUUGCUUUUAUCUCCUUGCCAUGGUCUGAAGAAGCCAUAUUGUUGUAAGGUUGAUGACAAAUGAGGACAUGGCCUGUUUCAGUAUGAAGUGGGGGAAGGGGAAGCUUGCCUUCACCAAGAUCAAUCUGUACACUGUUGUCACAGAGAGUGUCCAGAAAACAUCAAAAGAGACGGGGCAAAUAUUGCAGCGGCCACCGCCUUUUGUUUAAAAUAUGCCCCAGCAGAGCCGUCGCAAGGAGGGUGAGAGGCCCUGUGCAAAGUUGACAUGCGAGGCCCUCUACAAUUUUGCGUGUGUGUGUGUGUGUGUGUGUGUGUGGUGGGGGAGGUUGCUGUAGUAAGGCAAGGCAAGUUUAUUUUUAUAGCAGAUUUCGUACAC